GGAUGAAGGUAGCAUGGUAGUGUGCACGGAAAUGGAAUUAUGGGUGAACAUGUCUGCUCUCUCUGACGCUUUCGCUUUGAUUUGAGGGCCUGGUUCCUACCCACAUCU
rfam:Morus notabilis contig8717, whole genome shotgun sequence.